AGUUCCGGAGGAUCUGGACCUGACGGGGUCUGGUCCCCGCAACCCAGAGAAGACAACUUGGGAAUUCCUGAAGAUCUGGACCUGACGGGGUCCGGUCCCCGCAACCCAGAGAUGAGGACUUGAGAGUUCUUGAGGAUCCGGACCUGACGGGGUCCGGCCCCCGCAACCCAGAGAGGACAACUUGGGAAUUCCUGAAGAUCCGGACCUGACGGGGUCCGGCCCCCGCAACCCAGAGAGAGGAUGACUUGGAAGUUUCUGAAGAACUGGACCUGACGGGGUCCGGUCCCCGCAACCCAGAGAGGAUGACUUCGGAGUUUCUGAAGAUCCGGACCUGACGGGGUCCGGCCCCCGCAACCCAGAGAAAGGACGACUUGGAAAUUUCUGAAGAUCCGGACCUGACGGGGUCCGGUCCCCGCAACCCAGAGAAAGGACGACUUGGAAAUUUCUGAAGAUCCGGACCUGACGGGGUCCGGCCCCCGCAACCCAGAGAGGACAACUUGGAAGUUUCCGAAGAUCUGGAUCCAAUGGGAUCACAACCCAGAAAAUGAAGGAGUUCCUGAAGAUCGGGACCUGAUGGGGUCCAGACUCUGCAACCCAGAGAUGACGGCUCUGGAAUUCCUGCGGAUCUAGAUCUGAUGACAUCACAACUCAGAGAACUGAGCUCUUCUUUUAGGAGUUCCUGGGGAUCUGGACCUGACGGGGUCCGGCCCCCGCAACCCAGAGAGGACAACUUGGAAGUUCACGAAGAUCCGGACCUGACGGGGUCCGGCCCCCGCAACCCAGAGAGGACAACUUGGAAGUUCACGAAGAUAUGGAUCCAAUGGGAUCACAACCCAGAAAAUGGAGGAGUCCCUGAAGAUCCGGACCUGACGGGGUCCGGCCCCCGCAACCCAGGAAGGACUUGGGAGUUCCUGAAGAUCUAGAAGCAAUGGGAUCACAACUCAGAAAACUAAGGAAUUCAGUGGAUCUGGACCUGAUAAGAUCCGUCCCCCAUAAUCCUGAUAGAAGAUCGCUCAGGUGUUUUUCGUGCAUCCAGGCCUGCUGGGGUCUAGCCCUUGCAACUCAGAGAAAGUACUUCUGUGAAAAAAACUACCUAUUAUCUUAUGUACUUAGAUUCAGCUUUUUGAAGCUGUCUCUGUCUCUAUCUCCUGAAGGUCUGAAUUGACCUGAUAGCCUGGAGGGGGGGGUGGCGGCGGGACAAUACAACAUACAGCAAAUCAACCUGUUAAACUAAAUAAACACUGUCAGUGUGUGUAUGCUGGGUUUGCU
rnacentral:lncRNA from 1 species